rnacentral:rRNA from 1 species
GAUCCUGGCUCAGAAUCAACGCUGGCGGCGUGCCUAACACAUGCAAGUCGCACGAGAAAGCGGACUUCGGUCUGUGAGUACAGUGGCGCACGGGUGAGUAACACGUGACUAACCUACCUCCGAGUGGGGAAUAACCUAGGGAAACCUGGGCUAAUACCGCAUAACACUUACGAGUCAAAGCAGCAAUGCGCUUGGAGAGGGGGUCGCGGCAGAUUAGCUAGUUGGUGGGGUAAUGGCCCACCAAGGCGAUGAUCUGUAUCCGGCCUGAGAGGGCGCACGGACACACUGGAACUGAAACACGGUCCAGACUCCUACGGGAGGCAGCAGUGGGGAAUUUUGCGCAAUGGGGGAAACCCUGACGCAGCAACGCCGCGUGGAGGAUGAAGUCUCUUGGGACGUAAACUCCUUUCGAUAGGGAAGAUUAUGACGGUACCUAUAGAAGAAGCCCCGGCUAACUUCGUGCCAGCAGCCGCGGUAAUACGAGGGGGGCAAGCGUUGUUCGGAAUUAUUGGGCGUAAAGGGCGCGUAGGCGGUUUGGCAAGUUUGGUGUGAAAUCUUCGGGCUCAACUCGAAGUCUGCAUCGAAAACUGCCGGGCUUGAGUAUGGGAGAGGUGAGUGGAAUUUCCGGUGUAGCGGUGAAAUGCGUAGAUAUCGGAAGGAACACCUGUGGCGAAAGCGGCUCACUGGACC